CACACACAGCAGUGGCAGUAUCAUAGCCUAUGAGGUUUUCCGCGUGAUUAUUGCUAGUUGAAAAUUUUACCCAAUAUCCCGCCUUGAUGACUUGAAAUAUAGUCAGCUAUGGCAGUUUUUGACAGUCUCCUUUGAAU